GACGAACGCUGGCGGCGUGCCUAAUACAUGCAAGUAGAACGCUGAAGAGAGGAGCUUGCUCUUCUUGGAUGAGUUGCGAGCGGGUGAGUAACGCGUAGGUAACCUGCCUUGUAGCGGGGGAUAACUAUUGGAAACGAUAGCUAAUACCGCAUAACAAUGGAUGACACAUGUCAUUUAUUUGAAAGGGGCAAUUGCUCCACUACAAGAUGGACCUGCGUUGUAUUAGCUAGUAGGUGAGGUAACGGCUCACCUAGGCGACGAUACAUAGCCGACCUGAGAGGGUGAUCGGCCACACUGGGACUGAGACACGGCCCAGACUCCUACGGGAGGCAGCAGUAGGGAAUCUUCGGCAAUGGGGGCAACCCUGACCGAGCAACGCCGCGUGAGUGAAGAAGGUUUUCGGAUCGUAAAGCUCUGUUGUAAGUCAAGAACGAGUGUGAGAGUGGAAAAUUCACGCUGUGACGGUAGCUUACCAGAAAGGGACGGCUAACUACGUGCCAGCAGCCGCGGUAAUACGUAGGUCCCGAGCGUUGUCCGGAUUUAUUGGGCGUAAAGCGAGCGCAGGCGGUUUGAUAAGUCUGAAGUUAAAGGCUGUGGCUCAACCAUAGUUCGCUUUGGAAACUGUCAAACUUGAGUGCAGAAGGGGAGAGUGGAAUUCCAUGUGUAGCGGUGAAAUGCGUAGAUAUAUGGAGGAACACCGGUGGCGAAAGCGGCUCUCUGGUCUGUAACUGACGCUGAGGCUCGAAAGCGUGGGGAGCGAACAGGAUUAGAUACCCUGGUAGUCCACGCCGUAAACGAUGAGUGCUAGGUGUUGGAUCCUUUCCGGGAUUCAGUGCCGCAGCUAACGCAUUAAGCACUCCGCCUGGGGAGUACGACCGCAAGGUUGAAACUCAAAGGAAUUGACGGGGGCCCGCACAAGCGGUGGAGCAUGUGGUUUAAUUCGAAGCAACGCGAAGAACCUUACCAGGUCUUGACAUCCCGAUGCUAUUUCUAGAGAUAGAAAGUUACUUCGGUACAUCGGUGACAGGUGGUGCAUGGUUGUCGUCAGCUCGUGUCGUGAGAUGUUGGGUUAAGUCCCGCAACGAGCGCAACCCCUAUUGUUAGUUGCCAUCAUUCAGUUGGGCACUCUAGCGAGACUGCCGGUAAUAAACCGGAGGAAGGUGGGGAUGACGUCAAAUCAUCAUGCCCCUUAUGACCUGGGCUACACACGUGCUACAAUGGUUGGUACAACGAGUUGCGAGUCGGUGACGGCAAGCUAAUCUCUUAAAGCCAAUCUCAGUUCGGAUUGUAGGCUGCAACUCGCCUACAUGAAGUCGGAAUCGCUAGUAAUCGCGGAUCAGCACGCCGCGGUGAAUACGUUCCCGGGCCU
rnacentral:rRNA from 1 species